AACACUCAACUCGGGAUUGGCACCCAGCCAGUGCCCUACACUAUACAAGAUGCCACUGUAGGGACAGGGAUGACCUCUAGCAAGCGGGCUAAAUCAACACCACAGGCCCCGUGAUCAAUAUAUGUGAUGAGGACAUUACAUCCUGGUGUUGUUGCCCCAAGUCUUGACGUGAAUCUGACCACAAGGACAAUUCGGACAACCUGAAAUGGUGACGCAUUCUACAAAAUAAACAUCAAUGUCAUGAAAGACAAAGACUCAAGAUUUUCUGCUUAAUGGAGACUAAAGAGAUGCGACAACAGAAUGCCAGGCAUGAUCUUGGAUAUUCUUUUGGCUCAAACAGUCUUAGGACAAUUGAAAAAACGUGAAUGAGGUCUGUAGCUAAUAGAAUUGUGUCAAUGCCACAUCCUUGGUUUUGUUAAUUGCAUUGUGGUUACAGAAGAGAAUCCCUUUGUUUUCAGGAAAUGCACACAGCAGUAUUUAAUAGUAAAGGCACAUCUUGUCUGCAACUUCCUCUCUGUGUGUGUGUGUGUGUGUGUGUGAGAGAGAGAGAGAGAGAGAGAUGCAACAAAUAUGGUAAAUAUUAAUUUUGGGGACUCUGGGUGAAGGGUAUCUUGAGAUUUUUGUGCUCCUCUUCUGCACAUCUGAAAUCAUGUCAAAAAAUAAAAAAGGUGUGCACUCUGCAAGGGAUACCCAGAUACCCAUGCAGAAGAGAGAACUGAUUCAAGAGAUGAACCCAGGUGGGAGCCACGAUGAUGCCCACUGGGGAAUGAGCCUGUAAAUCCAGGAGAGGCUGCACCUGCAGCCCAUUCCUCCAGGGUGGUUCUCCUAGACCUGCUUCAAGUGUCAUGGUUUAAAUUCUCAGGCACCCCUUGGGCCAUACUGACAUUUCUAUUGGCUUUGGGCUAGGAGGAGCUAAUAUGCCUUGCACAUGAUGAUAGCUUGGAGAAUGUAAAAAUGCUGAGCUGUUAUCACACCUAAUGACAUGAUACCUGCAAAGACGUAGUGUGUGCAUGGAACAGCGUAAUGGAGUCCUACAGCCUUAAGCCAGGAUUUCAUGUGUGAUACACAGUAGUCAUGGCUGAAAUCUUUCUCCAGUGUGGCUGCUCCCUCCUCAUUGAACACAAAGCAAGUUAUACAAUUCAGUUUUAGCAAAUGUCUUGUGAGAUGCGCUAGCACAAUCUUAAAGAUCAUGUGUGGGUAAAAAGAACAACCUCCACCCAUACCAAGCAUUUUCAGUGCCAGGCCCUACCUGAAACACAACCGUGAUCUCCAUUUGAGCCAGGAAAACCCGAACCAUGGGGAGCCGCAGAGCCCGCCCCCCACCCAGUGACUCUCCGGUGUGUCAGUGCCAGGGUCUGAAGGUACUGAGGCUUUGCAGGCAUCAUCUCAAGCCAGCAGGGUCUGAAGCUACUGAGGAUCUGCCAGCAACAUCUCAAGACGGCAUGGUAGCUCCUUCCCAGCACGCCACGCUGCCCUGCACCCACUGCUAGCUUCUGUCUAUACUGCACUUGGCACUGAGAGCAAUCCGAUCAGAGGCAGCAUGCGAUUGCUUUGUUCCAUUUUCCCAAGGCCCACUCACAGGGCCUGUAGGUACCUGCACGGUCCAGGUCCAGGUCCGUCAUUGUUCAAUCGAGCCACCAUGAAUUGGAACAACUGCAUCUUUCAAUCGCGUCCUCCAAUUUGCCCAGAGCCAUCCGAGCACAGAUUCAGAACUGGAUCUUUGCCUCUCUCAACAAAGUACACUAGGGGACUGAAGCAUCCAACUCAAGUGUAGUGUUUUAAAUAAGGAAGAAGAACUUAAAUUCACCCACUGACCCAUUUCCACAAUCGUCAAAGUCACAUGGCUUUAUCGGUAUUGUCAUUUCUGUGUGAAACUUAGCUCUUACAUGCUUAAAAAAUAAGAAUAAUUGUUCAGAUAUGCUUGGGAACCAAAGAAAGAACAGAACUACUGUUUUCCCCACAUUGUCAAACUCAAACAAACACCUGUGACAGAUGAGCACCGCCUACUGAGGUCGCAGUUCACCUUUCUGCACAAGAGCUGGUGGCUUUGUUCUCUGUCUGGAAGGACUUUCUGUCUCCCUGUGCUGCGUGUCCUCUGGCCUCUUGGGCCCAUCCUUCGACGCCAAACUCAAGGGACAUAUUCAGCCUUCAUCUUUGGAGGGAUGCCCAGGGACAGAUGUGUCCACGGGACCCCCAGCACACAGACUGACCUUUCGGGGCUUACCCUUCAAAGGUGUCGUGUCAUUUCCCUGUGCCCUGACCUCCACGCUGAGUUCCCUCUUUCCUUACUGGCCGUGGCAUUGCAUGGGUAUAAGUGAUUGUAUGUAAGACAGUUAUAGGAUUUGUUUUCUGAUAAUCCCUGAGUUUUAUAUUUCUGCCAAAAGUUAUAAGUGAGCAAUCUUAUAUAUACAUCUGCCAGCUCAAAUGGACACAAUGUAGGCACAGGCAUCUUGUGUUGAGAGGCAUAAUGGGGCCAUCCCCGGGGUCUGCAGGGAAGCAGGCAGCAAUUGAUGAGGGGCAUUCGUCCUGGGACGAAGGAAGGCGAGAAGCAGCCAGUAUUUCCUGUUCUUGAUACAAUGUUACCCUGCCGCAAGGGUGGAAAAUCCCACGUUUAAACCUGAAACUGAUUGUUCCUGGCCAGCAGCCACUCCCACAUCCCCAAACCAGGGGGGUGACUUACAGCAGUGCAGUGACCUGCCUGAAUCACUCGAGCUCUUGCUGAAACGCAGGUUCUGAACCAGGGCCUCCAGGGCGGGGCCUGAGACUCUCCAUUUAUAACCAGCUCCCGGGUGAUGUCUGAGGACCACGCCUUGGGUAGUGAGGACCUAGAGUGAGUGAAUGAAGAGAACUUACACAACAGCCCAGCACAUUCUAAUGAGAAAGGUGACACCACCUACCCCUCUAUCAUUCACGAGCUUAGGACAGCUGGGUACCUCGUGGCCAUCCUCAGUCAGCCCCACCUCUCAGGCCAGGGCCUGCUGUCUUUGAUGAAACCCCUCUGUCCCUCCCACGCCUUUGCGCCUGUUAUUCUCCAGCCCACCCUAAGUCCCCCAUGAGGUGCUGGAUGUCUCAGGCUUGGAUCUCCUCAUCACUGCCUCUCUUCUUCCUCAGUACCCUGGGAGCUGCCCACGUGGGCUCUCAGUGGCCCCUGCUCUCUGGCUUCUGGCAGGGGAUCGCCCAGGCAAGGCAGGCGGCGACAUCCCCCUCCUCAAAUGGCACUUGUGUCUCCCGGAGAACUGUGAAGUGCAGGAGGCAGGGGGCCUGGGGAAGGGCCAGUGCCUGGUGAAGGAGGGCCGCUGCUAUUAUUUCUUAGAACUUUUUGUUACUUUUAUUAAAUCUGGAGGUUCCAGCUCAGUUCCCUCCUCCAUGAAGCCCUCCUGGCUUAGCUCGACCUCCCUUAGUAUCUUUCUCCUUUGAAUGCACUCAGGGAAUAACUUAGGCCCUUAUUUUGAGCCAUCUUCCUUCUUUUUGCUUAGUUGCCUCCAAGGCUCAGUAUGGUCCCCUCGACACGACAAGAAGCUUCGAUUCACUCACAGUAAACUUUUGCCAAUGAGGAAAACCACAAAACACACCUGAAACUCAAAUAACUCAAAAAUGGUUUGAAAACAGUCUGUUUCUCUACGUCUCUCCCAGUGUUGGUAAUACGUGUUUGGGGAAAGUGUCUAAAAAUAAUGAAAUACUUUUUAAAAUCUACUUUUAAAAGAAGCUUUAUCGAGAUAUAACUCAAGUACCACACAAUUCACCCAUUUAAAGUGGACAAUUCAGUGGGUUUUAGUAUAUUCACAGAACUGGACAACCCUCAACACAGUCCAUUUUGGAACAUUUUUAUCAAUUCAGAAAGAAUCUGUGUACCUGUUAACAGUCACCCUUCCUCAUCCUGCUGUUUUGAGCCUGUAUUUAAAACACGAGGCAGGAAAAGACCAUUUUACCGAUGUAAAGCCCAGGACAUAUUUUUUGUUUACAUUGUCUUUGAGGCUUAUCCCUUUUUAAAAAUUCACUGGCUAAGUUUCAGGAGAAUCAAAUCAAUGGCAUGAAAACCUACCUGUUUUGCAGAACAUCCCAGGUCACCUGCCUCCUUGCACACCUGAGGGUUGAAGGAGGCCAUGGCACCGUGGCAUCCGCCACCCCAUCUGGCUUUCCCACGCCUCUGGCCUCACCCCUGUCGGAGGUGAGAGCUGGUUCCUGCCAGUCUAGAAGGAGCUUUAAGCUCUGCCUCCUAUGUUGUAACAGAGCCCGGGAAGGAAGCUUCCACUUGUGAGCCAACUGCAGGCUUGACGGACUCAAAAGGGUGGUGUGGAAACAAAGAAAACACUGUAUGUUGAAGAUGGUCAAGACAAUCACAAUGCUGCCAUUUAUUGAAUAUUUGCAGAGUGUCUGGCAUACUGCUAAGAACAUUACAUGCAUAUCUGGUUUAAUCCUCACGACGACCUUCGGAGGUGGAUCUUAUUAGUUUGCCUGAGUUUACUGCUAAGGAAGCUUAAAGGAAGAGCUCUAGUAACUGCCUGGAGGGUCUUCCCUGAUCUUCCCAUCAGUCUAAUGAUCUGUUUGGAUAGAAGGAGGGAUCAGUCUGAACUGGAUGGCCUUCUGAAGUCUUCAAAGCUCUCAAAUCUGAGAAUUCUGAAUUCUACAAAAUCUGAAUCAUAGGACGCCCUUUGAAUAAAAGCGCUGGAUCCUUUUAACCCCAAAAAGAAGGGAGAUGUGCAUGUGGGGGGUGUGGAGAGAGCCUAUUUUUAAUGUAAGUCAGGAAUGUCUGCUAUGUGUGGAUGACAUGAGGGCUCUCAACCUCUGGGAGCCUGUCCCCAGGUCAGCCUUGGUGAGUCUGGCCCCAGCUAUGGGUGCCUACCUGGGUUUUCACCUGUUCUGAGGUUUACUGUCCCCCACCUGCAAGCAUGAGGCCCAGAAGCUGCCAUCAGCCUUUGGUCUCUGGUACAGGCCCUUAGCUGUGAACUCACAUUAUUAAUGUUAAAGACAUUGAUGUGACUAGCAGUGGUGUCCCAUGUGACCAUUCAAGAUUCCCAGUGGCUGGAGACAGGACUCCAGAUGUGGCAAGGGUGACAGGAACCCCUUUCUUCACUUUUAAAUGGAGUGAGCCAAUAGCAGAGGCAUGGAGUCAACCUAGGUGCCCAUCAGUGGCGGACUGGAUGAGGAAAAGUGGUCCAUACAUGCCAUGGAAUACUACAUAGCCAUGAAAAAUAAUGAAAUCAUGUCAUUUGCACAUCACGGAUGCAGCUGGAGGCCAUUAUACUGAGCAAAUUGACACAGGAACGGGAUACCAAAUACUCCAUGUUCUCACUUCUAAGUGGGAGCCGAGCACUGAGCACACAUGGACAUAAAGAUGGGAAUGAUAAACACUGGGACUAAUAGACAUGGGAGGGGAGGAGGGAGACAGGGCUGAAAAACGAUCUACUGGGUGCUGUGUUCGCUACCUGGGUAAUGGGACCAUCUAUACCCCAAACCUCAGCAUCAUGCAAUAUUCCUAUGUAGCUAAACUGCACAUGUACCCCUGAAUCUAAAAUAAAAGCUGAAACCAUUAAAAUAGUAUAAAACAAAUUUUAAAAUGGAGUGAGCCUCACUUUAUAGCAGCCAUUCAAGCUGAACUGUGGAAAGUCUCUACUGGAUCCGGAGCCUGUGGUUGACACUAAUUCCCAUUGAGCCCGUGAAUCCCCACAUGUGCCUUCACUCUCCACCUACCCAGAGCCCCCCUCCUUUACAGUGUCCCCCCUUAGAAGUGUCCCCAUCACCUCUAAGCAUGAGGCCACUUCUGAAGUCCCAGAACAUCCCAGGUGGUGUGACCAGCUGUGCCUUAUCUCCGGUGCCACUGCUCUGUGAGGAAACCUGACCUUCAGAGAAAAAAAAAACCUAAGUAGGAGAUAAGCACUGCAGAAAUUUUAGAAGAUACAAGUAAGGAGAAAAGAGGGAAGAAUGCUCAUCGGAAGAUAACCACUUGGGCAUAUGAUUUGGUGCAGCCACUUUGGAAAAGAGUAUGGCAGGUCCUCCACAACCUGGAGCAACCCUGGGACCCAGUGAGUCACUCCCACCUAUCUACUCAGGAGAAAUAAAAAUGAACUUCCAUGCAAAAAUAAAAAUAAAACAAAUAACGUUUUGCAAACUUGUAAACAAAUGUCCACGGCAGCUUGUUCACAAUAGCCAAAAGUGAGAACAGCCUAAAUAUCCAUCAAUGAUGAACAAAAUAUGGUCUUUUUAUACAAGGGAAUGUUCCUCAGCCACGGAAGGAAGGAAGCGCGGGUACCCCCACCACACACCAUGAGCCUCAAAAACAUUGCGCCGAGUGAAAGAAGUCAGACACGGAAGCCCACGUGUUGGUCUUCAGGAGGAACAGCAAGUGCAGGCUGGACACAUGUGGUGGGCCAGUUAAAGUGCUAUGAAAGCAGUGCCUUCAGCAGGGCCUGUGCACGUUGGCCCCAUCCCCCUAUGGUAUUUAAGACAACGUGUUCUCAUGGCAACCCUGGGAUUACUCCCACUUUACAGACCCAAAGAGGCUGAGUAAUGUGCCCAGGGCCCCACAGUGCAUCCACACUGAGUCCAUGAUCCUCCCUGCCCUGGGCUGGCUCUCCAUGGCCCCCUUGACUCAUCACUCAACCCCCAGCCCCCGUCUGAAGACCCAGGCAUGGGCAUUUCAAUACUCUCCAUCAGCACCAUUCUAACCAUCACCCAGUUAUCCCACGGGACAUGACACAGAGGCUAGACUCAGUUUCAGGACCUGUCGCUGUCCACUGGAAAUUCAUUCAUUCCCCAAAAGCAGAGGGAAGGCAGUGGCCCAAAGGCCCCAGACACAAAGCUGGGUCCUGAGCACAGCAGUGAAAGGGGAGGUGCCCACAGCCCUGCCAGCAUCUUCGGGGUGUCUGGCAAGGCUGGCCAGUGGAACCAGGAGGGCUUGUCCUGCUCAAAUAUUGACCAAAAAAGAAAGCACAGCAAGGCAUGGUGGCUCACGCCUGUAAUCCCAGCACUUAGGGAGGCAAACGCAAGAGGAUCGCUUGAGCCAAGGAGUUCAAAUCCAGCCUACACAACAUAGCAAGACCCUAUUCUCCAUACACACACACAAAAGACGGAAAAGAAUGCAAUAAUCCAACAGAUGAUUUUCUAAAGCCAGGGAGACAAUAACACUUUUGUGAUUUAAAUUCUGAGCAGCUCUACAGCUCCAAGAGACAGAAAUUAGAGAAGCAGAGCCACUGGAAGCAUGACUCGUUCUCUUACAAUGAAGUGUUGGGUCCCAUCAGUAGCUGGAAGGCCUGGAACUGUCAGUCAUGCCUCUCUGAAGAUGCCAGGACCUGAGGUGCUUUCUCAACAGACCAAGACAGGAUGGGGACCCAAAGGGUGGGCUGAGGGGGUACUUUGAGCUUGUGAGCUGCUAAGCACACAGAAAAGGGUCCUGUCUAAAUCCUGCGUCCAUUUGGGAUGUGCACCAUGGAAAGGGGAGCAAACAGGGCUGCCCUGGCCUCUGCCCCUCAAAGCCGGGUGUUCCCAAGCCCACUGGGUCCUUGGGCUCAUUGUGGCUCGGCACCCCCCGUGGCAAGUAGGGAUGCCUCAGAGCCUCCUGGGCUUUUGGGCAUGACCUGUCUGUAGAGUACUCUUGGGGCUGAGGCCAGCAGGAUGGGGCUGGCUUGGCCGCUCAGAGGUUCCCCUGAAGGAAGCCGCGGGAAUAAUGGCCAGCGCCAACAGAGCAGUUGCUGCGAGCAGGCCCCUUAGGAGCCGUCUUGGCAAAUCCUCCCAGCACCUCGCAAGCAGGUCCUGCUGUCACUCACCUCUCGUGAUGCCAGCGCUGGGCUGCCUGGCCUUGUUCCCUACAGCUUAUAAGGAGGGAAGCCCCAGACCCCCCUGGGCCUCUGCAUGUGGCUCUCGUGGGAAACCCUGUAGUCAGGACCUGCCUCCGAGGCGGGAGAUCUCGUCAGCAGCCGACCACGUCCAGCCACGCCAGCACCGCAGCCAGGCUCUCUGGGAGGCACCAGCAUCCUCACACCUCACUCUUCCCUUCAGGGUCAUGACCGCGGGUCCAGCAACCAGCACCGAAAGCUCGUGGUCACAGUGGACGGACCAAGGUUCCCCAGCCUAGAGGGCAUCAGAGCCAGACCCUGGGGUUUCAGCUCCCUGCUCAGGAGUGUGGAACAGGGGAUCCACUUGUCUUUUAGUGAGCCGUGAGGUGCAUGUGGGUGUAUAUGUGUAUAUGUGUGUGUACGUGUGUGCAUUUUGUGCAUGUAUGUGUGUGUUAUGUGGUGUGUGUGGUAUGUGGUAUAUGUGUGUGUGGUGUGCAGACAUGCGUAUAUGUAUAUGUGUAUAUCUGUGCAUGUGUGUAUAUGUGUGUUGUGUGGGCAAAUAUGUGAUGUGCAUUCUAUGUGUGAACAUAUGUGCAUGUGUGUGUACACGGUUUGUGUGUACAUCUGUGCAAGUGUAUAUAUGUAUGUGCCGGUACAUGUGUGUAAAGUGGGUCAGUGGGUUGUCACCAAGACACAAGGCGACAUGACGCACGUGAUGUACGUCUACUCUUGCCGUGCAGCAGGUCUUGUCCAGGGUUUUCCUCAUGGACCAGUGCCCAGAGCCAUGUGGUACAGAGGCCACCAUGGGCACUCACACAUGGGAUGAGUGACCAAUGAGAUGACUCUUACAGCAGGAGACCAGCUGCCAGGUGCCCUCGUGGUCGCCCUGUGAGGAGACCUGCCCCCGCCAAGGAAACUCCUGCCCAGGGCAACACGGACGUAGCCCCAGGUAAUGCACCCAGCUGCGGGGGUCCAGGGGCAGGGCAGGUGAGCUGCCACAGCACCCACGGGAGGGGAAGCAGGGUGCUCGGGAGGGAGGAGGGGAAUGUUGGCAUCAGGAAGCCCUGGCCCCAGACCUGAACCCCCAGCUGUGACUGAGAAGUCAUAUAGCCUCUCUCUGAGCCUCAGCUCUGCCAUCUGUAAAAGGGGAUUUAUGAUCUUUUCUUCAAAGAGCUGCUGUGAGGGUUAGUUCAGCAAAUAGCUAGGUAAGUCCAUGACAGACACGUGUGUGUGCCUGUGGUUGUAUGCACAUGUGCGUGUGUGUGCGGAAUCUAACACAGAGCCUGGCGUGUGGCAUGCACAGGUGCAAUCAGUGUUGCUCGUUCAUGUAUUUUCCCAGUGCGUGCUUAUUAAGCUCCUACUGUGUGCUUGGUGGUGCUCCAGGUACUGGGGAUACGGAAGCGAACGAAUAUGCACAGUCUCGGCUCGUGUGUAGUCAACAGUCUAAUGUGGGAGUCAGGAAACAAGUGAGGAAACAGCCAAGCAAAUACUGUGUGUUCAGUAAUGACAAGUGCCAUGGAGAAAAAAGAACACACAAAUAAAUCCCAGGUGAGGGAUGGAAGGUGAUUCAUUUUGGGGAGACUCUGUUUAGAUGUGGGUGUUCAGGGGAGGCCUCUGGAAGAUGGUACCGUCUGAGCUCAGAUCUGGAUGACAAGAAGUAGGCAGCCACACAGAGUUCUGGAGGGAGAGCAUUCCCACUGCAGGACCAGCAGAUACAAAGGCCCUUGAGUGGAGCAACCCCGUGGCCCGAGAGCACGCCAGAUGUCCAGGGCACAUGGCUCAGACAUCAGGCACUCAGGUUAGUGGCACACCUGGCACCUUUCUGGGCCCUGAAGCCACCAUCUCCAGCCUCACUGCUUCCCCUCACCCUUAGGGAGGAAGAUGGCUGUAGCUGGCAGUUGCCAGCGACAGGCUGCACCUGGAUGUAAUUUCUCCCCCGUGUUAAUUGGCAGAAGGUGGGAGAGGGGAGAGAGGAAACAAAAUAAAGCUUCAAAGUUUGGCUGUUCCUCGCGUUAAUGCCCUCUCCGGAGCACCAAGGUGGGGGCCCAGUGGCCGAGAAUGGAUGCCCCAAGUCAGCCUCAUCAUCUCAUUAAAUCAAAUUAACGGGCACAGCAGGAGUGCCGGGCCCCGAAACAGGCUGCUUCCCUGCUGUUCAUGAAUAGCCUGUCUUGUUUCCCUUCAAAAAUAAUGUCUUUAAUGUCUUGACAAAAAACCCCUCUCUUCUGGGAUAUCCAAAGUUAGCAAAGAAUUGAGCUCCAAGCAGCAAAAAGCUGAGUUGGUGUGCGGUGUGCAGUUUCCACUUCCUUCACUGCCCCCUUCCUGCUCCAUCUGAAGGAAGGGGCAGCAGAUGACGCCAUGCGGGAGGGGGCUCUGCCAACCUGUCCCCAUCCCUUUGUUCCUUUGGACAGCUCUGAGCACCCCUCCAGCCUCCUCUGCCCCACCUUGGCACAGGAAAAGUGUUUGGAGACUGGUCCCUGGCCCUGUCCAUGACCGGUGCUCUUUCAGGCGUUUUCUUCUCCAAUUGUCAACGGUGUGUUCUGGGAGUUUUUCUGCCAUGAGCCCUGCUUGCUGGUGGCUGCAGGAGUGCUGAGCGUGGCGUGGUGGUGGCACAGGGCUGCCUGGAUCAUCAGCUGCCUCCAAGAGCGAUGGCUCUGUCAGCUCCAGCAAGGGGCCCAUGAGUUCUGAUGCAUCUCCCUACCCGCCUUGGACGGCCUGACCUUCCUUAGCAAGGGAGAGGCCAGGAGGGGUGGCCAGGGAGGAGCUGGUCGUCCUCCUCUGGUCAUCCCCAGACCAUGGAGAACAGGACGCAGGAGUGCAGAGCCGCUAUCAGAGGCCAGGAGGCUCUGCCCGCCUUGGGUGACGAGCGAGGCUGCAGCGCCCUCUGCCCAACCCCAGUCAGUGCUUACGGAGGGCCCUGGUGGGGAGGCACAGGCAGAAAGGCCACCUCGGACUCCGUAGGAGCCGCUACCAGGCCGUCUCGGGGGGCAGGCACUCUGCUCUGUGAGUGCAUUUGUAAGAAGCUGUAUUAGUCCGUUUUCACGCUGCGGAUAAACACAUACCCGAGAUUGGGUAAUUUAUAAAGAAAAAGAGGUUUAAUGGACUCACAGUUCCACGUAGCUAGGGAGGCCUCAUGAUCACGGCGGAAGGUGAAAGGCGUGUCUUGCACGGCAGCAGGCAAG
rnacentral:lncRNA from 1 species